rnacentral:rRNA from 1 species
UACGUAGGUGGCAAGCGUUGUCCGGAUUUACUGGGCGUAAAGCGUGCGCAGGCGGUUUUGUAAGCCAGAUGUGAAAUCCCCGGGCUUAACCUGGGAACUGCGUUUGAAACUGGGAGGCUAGAGUGUGGAAGAGGGGGGUGGAAUUCCAGGUGUAGCAGUGAAAUGCGUAGAGAUCUGGAGGAACACCGAUGGCGAAGGCAGCCCCCUGGGCUGACACUGACGCUCAUGCACGAAAGCGUGGGGAGCAAACAGG